UACGUAGGGCGCAAGCGUUUGUCCGGAAUUAUUGGGCGUAAAGAGCUCGUAGGCGGCUUGUCACGUCGGAUGUGAAAGCCCGGGGCUUAACCCCGGGUCUGCAUUCGAUACGGGCUAGCUAGAGUGUGGUAGGGGAGAUCGGAAUUCCUGGUGUAGCGGUGAAAUGCGCAGAUAUCAGGAGGAACACCGGUGGCGAAGGCGGGUCUCUGGGCCGUAACUGACGCUGAGGAGCGAAAGCGUGGGGAGCGAACAGG
rnacentral:rRNA from 1 species